UAAAGCGUAACGCUUCCAUGGCAACGGGGUGACGCCGUUACAGUAACGGUGUUACGGCGACGGUGUUACGGAGACGGUGUUACGGAGACGGUGUUACGGUGACGGUGUGUUUCUCAACCGGGGCGAGUACCGGCUUCGAACGACGAAAUCCGUUCGACGCUCAUGAGAGAAUGAGAAUCAUGGGAUACAACUGUCAAUCAUUUAAAGACGUUUAUAUCUACGAUUCAAGGAUGGUAAAGUAUUGAAUUUUGAUCUUUUUUGCCGUUGGUAUUGGAUUUCAUACAUGAUAAGACCAUAGUGCUCAAUAUGCCGGAUCAGAAUAUGACCAUCACCGUGACAACUGUGCGAUAAUCUGAAUGUCAAAAUAAAAAUCAUUCGUUUACGGAUCGUUGUACUGACAACACCUUCAGCCUUCUGUUUAUUCUUCUACUUUGCGAUUUUGUGCCUUUGUUAUAACUUGAACGUUUAAUUCAAAUUGGUAAAAUUCGAGGUUUUACAUCUCAGAAGUGGGAUACGUCUUAUCGCCUGCACCUGCUUUUCUGUCCAAUCCAGCACGGUACAAGAUUGUGUAUCAAAGAGUUUGUGUGUUUGUGUGUGAGACGACGCUACCAUCUGCCAUCACGAUGCGCAAAAACGAGAAGCUUCUGUGUGUGCUUGCCGGUAUAGGCAGCAAAUUCGAUGAUUAGGCAACGAUUUGCCUCAUGGCUAGAUGGCCAGAUUCACCAGCCGCAACGAUCUCGACCCCUGCAACCCCAAAGACACCAGCCAUCCAGCACUUGCAUUUUGUGUGGCCGCCAUCUUGUUCAUGUUGCACGACAAUGGCGGCGCCGCCAUUUAGUAUGAAUACGGCCGCUGGCUAUUCUUUCAUCAUCGCUCAUACUUGGAAUACUGGAAAAGCAGCUCGCAUCACUUCUGUUACUGCAUGUGCACCGCAUGCCGUGUUGUCAUCACCUCCGAUUCACCGUGUGCUUUACCUUCCGUCACUUUAUGGAUUGACCCCGCUAUCACCCUCUACCGCCGCGUCAUGUUCGAGUGCUGUGGCAUCGGUUGUAGCCUACUGAGUUGUUGAACAACAAUCAUCGUGGUGUCGUUCAGUAUUCAGGUUCAUCCUGAUCGACAUUGUCCUUAUGCUUGGCUGUAGCUUCUGUAAACGUCAGCAAGACUUCUGGAGGAGAUGCCGAUCAGCGGCAGCAGUACUUACACCCGCUAUGAGAUUGAUUCAACCGCACGCAUCACAUGACGACAUCAUUCAGGAUCAGUUCUUUUCGAUAUCAGCAUCGUCCUCAUGCUUGGCUGUAACUUCCGUAAACUUCAGCAAGACUUCCGGAGGAGAUGUUGGUCAGAAAAGCAGUUGUGAUUGAAAGUAUGUGAGUUAUUCUCAUGCCAGCUCUGUUCAAUAAGUAUUGAAGAUUUCUACAGUAAAGCCGCUCAAAUUGAGGUCAAUUUGUUUGUCAGGAUAGCCGAGCUGUAAUAUCCUGGAGAUUUGACCCCUGAUAAGACCAUAGUGCCCAAUAUGCCGGAUCAGAAUAUGACCAUCACCGUGACAACUGUGCGAUAAUCUGAAUGUCAAAAUAAAGAUCAUUCGUUUACGGAUCGUUGUACUGACAACACCUUCAGCCUUCUGUUUAUUCUUCUACUUUGCGAUUUUGUGCCUUUGUUAUAACUUGAACGUUUAAUUCAAAUUGGUAAAAUUCGAGGUUUUACAUCUCAGAAGUGGGAUACGUCUUAUCGCCUGCACCUGCUUUUCUGUCCAAUCCAGCACGGCACAAGAUUGUGUAUCGAAGAGUUUGUUUGUUUGUGUGUGAGAUGACGCUACCAUCUGCCAUUGCAAUGCGCAAAAACGAGAAGCUUCUGUGUGUGCUUGCCGGUAUAGGCAGCAAAUUCGAUGUUUAGGCAACGAUUUGCCUCAUGGCUAGACCAGAUUACGCCAGAUUCACCAGCCGCAACGAUCUCGAUCCCUGCAACCGCAUAGACACCAGCCAUCCAGAAUUUGCAUUUUGUGUGGCCGCCAUCUUGUUCAUGUUGCACGACAAUGGCGGCGCCGCCAUUUAGUAUGAAUACGGCCGCUGGCUAUUCUUUCAUCAUCGCUCAUACUUGGAAUACUGGAAAAACUUCGCGCAUCACUUCUGUUAUUGCAUGUGCACCGCAUGCCGUGUUGUCAUCACCUCCGAUUCAUCGUGUGUAUUGCCUUCCGCCACUUUAUGGAUUGACCCCGCUACCACCCUCUACCGCCGCGUCAUGUUCGAGUGCUGUGGCAUCAGUUGUAGCAUGCUGAGCUGUUGAACAACAAUCAUCGUGGUGUCGUUCAGUAUUCAGGUUCAUCCUGAUCGUCAUUGUCCUUAUGCUUGGCUGUAACUUCUGUAAACGUCAGCAAGACUUCUGGAGGAGAUGCCGAUCAGCGGCAGCAGUACUUACACCCACUAUGAGAUUGAUUCAACCGCACGCAUCACAUGACGACAUCAUUCAGGAUCAGUUCUUUUCGAUAUCAGCAUCGUCCUCAUGCUUGGCUGUAACUUCCGUAAACUUCAGCAAGACUUCCGGAGGAGAUGUUGGUCAGAAAAGCAGCUGUGAUUGAAAUUGACACACACCUUGAAAUUGACCCAACUUUACGCAUCACAUGACGACAUCAUUCCGGAUCAACACCUUUCGAUAUCAUCAUCGUCCUUAUGCUUGGCUGUAACUUCCGUAAACUUCAGCAAGACUUCCGGAGGAGAUGUUGGUCAGAAAAGCAGUUGUGAUUGAAAGUAUGUGAGUUAUUCUCAUGCCAGCUCUGUUCAAUAAGUAUUGAAGAUUUCUACAGUAAAGCCGCUCAAAUUGAGGUCAAUUUGUUUGUCAGGAUAGCCGAGCUGUAAUAUCCUGGAGAUUUGACCCCUGAUAAGACCAUAGUGCCCAAUAUGCCGGAUCAGAAUAUGACCAUCACCGUGACAACUGUGCGAUAAUCUGAAUGUCAAAAUAAAGAUCAUUCGUUUACGGAUCGUUGUACUGACAA